rnacentral:tRNA from 1 species
GCCCAGAUGGCGGAAUAGGUAGACGCGCAUGGUUGAGGGCCAUGUCCACGCUUGUGGGUGCAGGUUCGAUUCCUGUUCUGGGCACAA